GUAUGUGCUCAAAGUGUCUACAGACUCUCGCAUAGGAAUCUUGAGCUCAGCUGCAUCAGAACCAGCGCAUCCUAGUUUGGAGAUCUCAGAUACAGCAUGGACGGCGGUGGGGAGAGCAUCUCUUUAAUCCAUUGUGCUUCUCUGUCAUAUUUGCUUAGAAUCAAUUUGGGGCCACGUUGGUCCGAUUAGAGACAGAAGCCCGAAGGUAGAGGCCGUGUUUCAGAGCUGUGCACUCUCGGUAGUGCUGGGUCUGCGCGUGUGGGGGGGCGUGCAGAGGAGGACCAAUUGGGAGGUUUGGGAAGGGGGUGGGGGGAGGGUGUCAUGUGUACAGACUAACAGUUGAAAGAAGGGAAAGCUGAAGAGGAGAGAUAGUGCAGGACUCAUUAUCAACUACAGCAGUGUAGAGUUUAGCAGACAUGAGGAGGGCUCCUGAGGGCUGCUAGCACACACACACACACACACACACACACACACACACACACACACACACACACACACACACACACACACACACACACACACACACACACACACACACACACACAAUGCCACUCAUUCUCUCCCCGCUUCUCUCUUUUUCCCCCAAACACUGUUCUUGUCAUUUACUCUUUUUAACUUUCUAAAACAGUUUAUCUCCGUCUCUCCGGGUCCAUCUCUUUUGUGGAGUGUGUAUGAAGAGCCUUUCCGAGUUGGCAUGGAGGGCUCUAAAAGCUAUCAGAAAGGGACAGGCUCUCCCUAGUUGUCUCUGCAGAUUGAUAUCAAGUGUGCUGGAGGACGCAUUGUGCAAUAAUAGCGCAGCGGGUGAAUGAGCGUUAAUAAAAAAAAAAAAAAAAAGGAAAGUAUGGGACGGUGGAUGCAUUCACACAGCAAGCCGGACGCACUCAGAGGGGAAAGCGACAGCUCGCCCGUUAAUUACGCGCGCUAAUAGCACAGCUGCUGAUUCACUCCGCUGUCUAUGAGACUCACAGCGGGAUGUGGAGGCUCAGGCAGGACACGGGAAGCGUUAAGACGGACGUGCUGCGACUCCAGAUCGGGGCUAAAUAAGAAUGCUCCUGGCCAGCUUGUUUCCAUGGCAACUCGCUUCCAGACGAAUCCUUCCCCGGAAUACGCAGCAGGAGCGUAGCAAGCUAAUUAAACUUCAUUUCUACAAGUGUACCCCAACAACUACUACUAGCGUUGGAGCCAGCAAGGCGCGCUGUAACGGUGCCAAACCCUGACUGUUUGUUUUGUACAGUGAUGCAAACUUGCUCAAUUUAUUCCGCGACGUGUGACAUUUAUGAAAAUGUAUUAUUUAUUAUUGAGCUUUAUGCCAUUUAAAUGUCACUUUGAGAUGAUGCUAACGCACAAGGGUUCUUUUCCCGUUUUUCUGGCAUUUGUUUGAUCUAGCUGAAAAACUAACUUAAAGAUAAAGAACUGAAUAAAAAUGA